rnacentral:rRNA from 1 species
UCUUAUGUACAUGCCUAUAGUGUUAAUGCAUCGGAUACGAUAAGAACUAUGUAGUUAAGUGCACUUGGGCUUAAGUAGUACCGAGAUGGGUGACCUCUUGUUAAGCCUUAAUAUUGGCU